GCGCUCGUAGCUCAGCUGGAUAGAGCACCAGACUACGAAUCUGGGGGUCAGGGGUUCGAAUCCUCUCGAGCGCGCCA
rnacentral:tRNA from 1 species